AUUGAACGCUGGCGGCAUGCCUUACACAUGCAAGUCGAACGGUAGAGUAGCAAUACUUGAGAGUGGCGAACGGGUGAGUAAUAUAUCGGAACGUGCCCAGUCGUGGGGGAUAACGUAGAGAAAUUUACGCUAAUACCGCAUACGAUCUAAGGAUGAAAGCGGGGGAUUCGCAAGAACCUCGCGCGAUUGGAGCGGCUGAUAUCAGAUUAGGUUGUUGGUGAGGUAAAAGCUCACCAAGCCGACGAUCUGUAGCUGGUUUGAGAGAACGACCAGCCACACUGGGACUGAGACACGGCCCAGACUCCUACGGGAGGCAGCAGUGGGGAAUUUUGGACAAUGGGCGAAAGCCUGAUCCAGCAAUGCCGCGUGCAGGAAGAAGGCCUCGGUUGUAACUAGCUUUGUACGGUAACGAAA
rnacentral:rRNA from 1 species